UCCUCGGUAGCUCAAUGGUAGAGCAUUCGGCUGUUAACCGAAUGGUUGCUGGUUCGAAUCCAGCCCGAGGAGCCA
rnacentral:tRNA from 8 species